UAUUGCACAAUGGAGGAAACUCUGAUGCAGCCAUGCCGCGUGUGUGAAGAAGGCCCGAGGGUUGUAAAGCACUUUUAGUGAGGAGGAAAGGUUAGUAGUUAAUACCUGCUAGCUGUGACGUUACUCACAGAAAAAGCACCGGCUAACUCUGUGCCAGCAGCCGCGGUAAUACAGAGGGUGCAAGCGUUAUUCGGAAUUACUGGGCGUAAAGCGCGCGUAGGCGGAUUGUUAAGUCAGUUGUGAAAGCCCUGGGCUCAACCUAGGAACGGCGAUUGAAACUGGCAGUCUAGAGUUUAGUAGAGGGAAGGGGAAUUUCUGGAGUAGCAGUGAAAUGCGUAGAUAUCAGAAGGAACAUCAGUGGCGAAGGCGCCUUCCUGGACUAAAACUGACGCUGAGGUGCGAAAGCGUGGGGAGCAAACGGGA
rnacentral:rRNA from 1 species